UACGAAGGGGGGCUAGCGUUGUUCGGAAUUACUGGGCGUAAAGCGCACGUAGGCGGACUAUUAAGUCAGGGGUGAAAUCCCGGGGCUCAACCCCGGAACUGCCUUUGAUACUGGUAGUCUCGAGUCCGAGAGAGGUGAGUGGAAUUCCGAGUGUAGAGGUGAAAUUCGUAGAUAUUCGGAGGAACACCAGUGGCGAAGGCGGCUCACUGGCUCGGUACUGACGCUGAGGUGCGAAAGCGUGGGGAGCAAACAGG
rnacentral:rRNA from 1 species